CUUCAAUAUUCUGGCCACCCUAAUGCGUAGGCAUUAUAACUUGUAUGGCCUACAAAAUCGAUUUUAUUUCGAAUUAAAUACAAUUGAUGUUAGGCGAUUGUGUGAAGCACUCUAUUUAGUAUAUAUGUCCCCGCUUGAUAUUCCUGAUACACAAUUCAAUAAUAAUAACAAAUAUAAUACGAAUCCAUAUGGUGAACUAGUGCAAUUUUAUCUUUGUACAUAAAUACACGAACAUAAUAUAAUAUGGGUUGUUUGCUUAUCAACUCGUUUAUGUGAAACAUAAUCUUUGUGUACGGUUUGUUUUGUCAUUAAUCUAAUGCGUACACACAGUGACAUAUGCAUCAUUUACAUAAUUAUUAUUCUAUGGUUCGGCCAGAGAGUAUAAUUCUCUUGUGCAUGCCACGCGUAAAAAUUGUUUGUAAUUUCAUCUUUAAUAACAACAAAGGCUAAAAUUGUCGAAACCGGCAUUUUGUUUAUUUUAAAUAUUUUUUUUAAAUUAUUAUUUUCAAUGUCCAUUGUUGGUCUGCUUGGAAAAAAUUUAUUUUUCUUUUUUAAAUUUUAAUUUCAAAUUGACCCAUCAGUUAAAAUUAUAACAUACGGUUGGAUACGUGCACAGUCAGGCAUUUUUUGUGAAUUAAUAUCGGUUGAAUGCAACAAAAAGAGAAACGAAACUCACUUGGGAUUAAGGACAUGAACUUGAUAGCACAGAAAAUAAAAUGAAAUUUCGUCGUGCAAUCUCAAAAGUUUUGAUUU